UUUAUUUCCCCACAAACAAAAAGAAUUUAAAUAAAUAACCCUCAAUUCGAGGGCAAAAGCAAAUACGAUGGCGAGACCCUCAAAACAGCAGCUAUCCUCCGACGAAGCGUUCUCCAACGGCUCCGAUUCCUCGUCGGAAGAGCAAGUCAAUGAGCAGAUCAACGAGGAGGAGGACGACGAAGAGCUCGAAGCCGUCGCUCGCUCCGCUGAUUCCGAUGACGACGAAGCCGCCGUCGGAACUGAAAAUGGCAACUCCGACAGUGAGGAGGCUGACGAGGAUGAGAACAACACUGAGAUUAGCAAGCGUGAGAAGGAAAGGCUUAAAGAAAUGCAGAAAAUGAAAAAGAACAAGAUUCAGGAGAUUUUGGACUCUCAAAAUGCGGCUAUUGAAGCUGAUAUGAAUAACCGAGGAAAGGGGCGCUUGAAGUAUUUGCUUCAGCAAACUGAGUUAUUUGCUCAUUUUGCUAAACAUGAUCAGUCUGCAUCGCAGAAGAAAGCUAAGGGGAAAGGUCGACAUGCAUCCAAAUUAACUGAAGAGGAAGAAGAUGAAGAAUAUCUGAAAGAGGAGGAAGAUGGUUUAUCUGGAUCAGGAAACACCCGGCUAUUGGUUCAACCCUCUUGUAUUCAAGGAAAGAUGAGGGAUUAUCAACUUGCCGGCUUAAACUGGCUCAUAAGACUCUAUGAGAAUGGCAUAAAUGGAAUCCUUGCUGAUGAGAUGGGCCUUGGUAAAACCUUACAAACCAUCUCCCUAAUGGGGUACCUGAACGAGUUUAGGGGAAUAACUGGUCCACAUAUGGUAGUUGCUCCAAAGUCUACACUUGGUAACUGGAUGAAUGAAAUCCGUCGUUUUUGUCCAAUUUUGCGUGCCGUAAAGUUCCUUGGCAAUCCUGAUGAGAGGAGACAUAUACGUGAGGAGUUACUAGUAGCAGGCAAGUUUGAUGUUGUUGUUACAAGUUUUGAAAUGGCCAUCAAAGAGAAGUCUGCACUACGUAGGUUUAGCUGGCGGUAUAUAAUCAUUGAUGAAGCUCAUCGAAUUAAGAAUGAAAAUUCUCUUCUUUCGAAAACUAUGAGACUUUACAAUACAAAUUACCGUCUCCUCAUUACUGGUACACCUCUUCAGAACAAUCUACAUGAACUAUGGUCUCUUCUGAACUUCUUACUACCAGAGAUUUUUAGCUCAGCAGAAACUUUUGAUGAAUGGUUCCAGAUUUCUGGCGAAAAUGAUCAGCAGGAGGUUGUUCAGCAACUGCACAAGGUUCUUCGGCCAUUUCUUCUGCGGAGACUGAAGUCAGACGUUGAGAAAGGAUUGCCUCCAAAGAAGGAAACAAUUUUGAAGGUUGGCAUGUCACAGUUGCAGAAACAGUAUUAUAAAGCUUUACUUCAGAAAGACCUUGAAGUUGUUAAUGCUGGUGGAGAACGUAAACGUCUUUUGAACAUAGCAAUGCAGCUGCGUAAAUGCUGUAAUCAUCCAUAUCUUUUCCAGGGUGCGGAACCUGGACCACCAUACACAACAGGAGAUCAUCUUAUUACGAGUGCUGGUAAGAUGGUUCUCUUGGAUAAGUUGCUUCCAAAACUAAAAGAGCGUGAUUCCAGGGUUUUGAUAUUUUCACAGAUGACUAGAUUGCUCGACAUUCUUGAAGACUACUUAAUGUAUUGUGGUUAUCUUUACUGUCGAAUUGAUGGGAAUACUGGCGGGGAAGAUCGUGAUGCUUCCAUUGAAGCCUUUAAUAAGCCAGGAAGUGAGAAAUUUGUCUUCUUGUUGUCAACUAGAGCUGGAGGACUUGGGAUUAACCUUGCUACAGCAGAUGUUGUCAUACUUUAUGACAGUGACUGGAAUCCACAAGUUGAUUUGCAAGCGCAGGACCGUGCCCAUAGGAUUGGCCAAAAGAAAGAAGUUCAAGUGUUCCGAUUUUGCACAGAGUACACCAUUGAGGAAAAAGUUAUUGAGAGGGCUUAUAAAAAGCUCGCGCUUGAUGCCCUAGUGAUUCAACAAGGACGGUUAGCUGAGCAGAAAACUGUAAAUAAAGAUGAGCUGCUUCAGAUGGUGCGGUUUGGUGCUGAAAUGGUUUUCAGCUCAAAGGACAGCACAAUUACGGAUGAAGACAUCGACAGAAUUAUUGCCAAAGGAGAAGAGGCCACAGCAGAGCUUGAUGCUAAGAUGAAGAAGUUUACAGAAGAUGCUAUAAAAUUCAAAAUGGAUGACACUGCCGAGCUAUAUGAUUUUGAUGAUGAUAAGGAUGAAAACAAGUUUGACUUCAAGAAGAUUGUCAGCGAUAAUUGGAUUGAACCACCAAAGAGAGAGCGAAAACGCAAUUACUCUGAAUCUGAAUACUUCAAGCAAACAAUGCGACAAGGUGGUCCAGCAAAACCAAAAGAGCCUCGUAUACCCCGCAUGCCUCAACUGCACGAUUUCCAGUUUUUCAAUACACAAAGAUUAAGUGAACUGUAUGAAAAAGAAGUUCGCUACCUCAUGCAAAAUCAUCAAAAAAACCAGUUGAAAGACACAAUUGAAGUUGAUGAGCCUGAAGAGAGUGGAGAGCCUUUGACUGCUGAAGAAUUAGAAGAGAAGGAGCGACUAUUAGAAGAGGGAUUUUCUUCAUGGAGUAGAAGAGAUUUCAAUUCCUUUAUCAGGGCUUGUGAGAAGUAUGGUAGGAAUGACAUAAAAAGUAUUGCUUCUGAAAUGGAAGGAAAAACAGAGCAAGAAGUCGAAAGAUAUGCUAAAUCUUUUAAGGAGCGAUACAAAGAAUUAAAUGAUUAUGAUAGAAUCAUUAAGAAUAUAGAGAGAGGGGAGGCUAGAAUUUCCCGUAAAGAUGAGAUCAUGAAAGCUAUUGGGAAGAAAUUGGAUCGCUACAAGAAUCCAUGGCUUGAAUUGAAGAUCCAGUAUGGUCAGAACAAAGGGAAGCUGUACAAUGAAGAAUGCGACCGUUUCAUGAUUUGCAUGGUUCACAAGCUUGGGUAUGGAAACUGGGACGAGCUGAAAGCAGCAUUCCGCACAUCUCCUUUGUUUCGUUUUGAUUGGUUUGUCAAAUCCCGGACAACUCAAGAACUUGCACGGAGAUGUGAUACUCUAAUUCGGUUGGUGGAAAAAGAAAAUCAAGAGUAUGAUGAAAGGGAGAGACAGGCGAGGAAAGAGAAGAAACUUGCGAAGAACUCGACACCAUCUAAGCGUGUUGUGGGAAGGCAAACCGAGAGUCCCAACUCAUUGAAGAAACGGAAGCAACUGACAAUGGAUGAUUACUCAGCAGGAAAGAGGAGGAAGUAACACACAAGAGUUGGACAUGUUUUAACAUCAUGGUAGUACGCAGAUAUUUAGUAAUAGAAACAUUAGAAUUAUCCCACCAACUACUGGUGUAGAUCCCUUUAUUUUUUUGCUCACUCGAUUCAGAAUCAAAUGUAUUGGCAGAUGGUGAAUGAGGCCAAAAGUCCGGAGUCUGCACUAACAUGUGCUAUUGUUUGAUCCCAGCUUGCAUGUUGUCAGGAUGGAGCUUAUUUUCCUUGAAUCUAAUAAGCAAUUUGAAAGAGUCAAAUGCAAGUGAGCGGGGGCUGUCAUUUUUGAAAUGUUUGUGUAGUAUUAGUUUAGUUUUGUAAUUUUGCCGUAGGUUUUGGUAGACCAAAUUACAAUAUUCUUAUGUGGGAGGAUAAUUUUUGAAAGUUGAAGGGUCUCAAUUUAGACAGUUUGUUUUAGUUAUAUUUAGCUUUGUUGUUGAUCCCUCUAGUCUAUAAUAUUUAUUGCAAACAAUUAAUGUCUUAUUUUGUAAACAUUUUUACUAAGUUAAUUUUAUAUUAAAACUUGUUUA